UUGCAACUUCAGCAAUUGGAAUCGUCUGCGAAGACUUAAGCAGAGAGUGAAGCCCAGAGAUUCUGAUUUAAUUGGUCUGGGGUAUGUCCUGCGCAUCGAGACGUUUAAAUUUCGCAGAAAAAUCCAUCUGACUGAAAGGUGGAGGAUGGAUUAGAUGGGUCCAGAUGGGAGGCAGAAACACCUGUUGGGGGGCUUCUGUGAACACAUAAGUGGGAGAUGAUGGUUGCCUGUGGUGACUGGCAGCAGGGCACCAGCCCGACACAAAGGCUUUGGAGGCAGGCCUGCCUGUCUGCAGAGCCAAAGGGCUUGAGUUUCAGUUCUCCCACUACUGAAUAAGGUGAGACUUUGGGCAAGUUACUCAAUCUCUACCAGCCUCAGUCUUGUCAUCUAUAAAAUGGAGAUAAGACUGGAUGGAAUGUGUCCAAAGUGCAUACCCACUCGGAAAGCACCCACUAAUCUUAGCUAUGAUCAUUAUUAGGUAUGAGCAGUAGAGAUGGAAGAAGUAAUUCAAGAGAUAUUGAAGAAGUGGAAUGUGAGGGUUGAGGACAGGGACAAGCCAAAGAUGACCCUCAGGCUUUGGGCUAACCUCCUAUGUGCACAUGAUGCUAAUACUUAGCUUAGAGAGGCCCAGAGGAAGACAGGCCAGGACUAAAUGAGCCCGAGAAGCCUGGUGAGGGAGCAAAGAGAGGUCAGGUAGACCACUACAUAUCUGGGUCUGGAACUUAAAAGAGUGAUCCUAGCAAUGUGGGACUUCUAAACUGUGGAGUAAGAUGGCCCCUGACAACCCAGGACUCCUUGUAUCCAUGGAAUCUGGGCCGGCCUGUGGCAACCUUUAAUGCAGUGGAAGUCAAGCUGCACCAGGUCCAGGGCUAAGCUUUAAGAAGACCUGGCAGCUUCCACUCUUGCUUUGGGGACCCCUAAGGUCUCAUGUGGGAAAUCAGCCUCUCUGCUGCGGACAUGAUCUGGAGAGAGAAGCUUGGACAUGGAGAAAGGGAGGUCCAGCCAUCCCAGCAUUCCAGCUGUUGCCCCCGGAGUGGGAGACAAGCAAGCCAGCCAUCAUGGACAUUCCAGCUCCAGUUACCUUCUGACUGUGGCCACAAGAGACACCCCCAACUAAGACAGCAGAGCUGUCCAGGUGAGCUCCCAUCAACCAACCAGGAGGAUCAUGAGAAGUUAUAAAAUGGUUGUUGUUUUGAGGCACUACAUUUAGAAUAGUUUGUUAUGCAGCAAUAGAUCUCCAAGCAGAAUGAUACUGAUGAACUCUAAGCCCAGGUGUAUAGUGAGAAGAGAAGAGGGCUUAGAACAGAGCCAAGGCACCCCACAUGCAAGGACCAAACUGAGGGAGAAGGCUCACACGGGAGAUUGAGAUAAACAGGACAGAGGGAAAUCCUGAGAGCGUGGUGUCCUGGAAGUGGCAAUAAGUGCUCAGGAAGGAAGAGUGGUCAGAAAUAUAAAAUGCCAAUGAAAGAACAGAUAAGUAUCCCUUGGAUUUGGUAACAUGGGAGUCAGUGACCUUGACAAGAACAGUUUCAGUGAGCACUGAGGGUGGACGCCAGAUGCACUGGGUUGAAGAAUGAAAAAAGCAACAAAAUCAAACUGGAGUUACGGUUUUGGGGGUUGUUUAUGUUUUGUUAAUAUUUAUUUAUUUUUAAGAGAGAGAGACAGAGCAUGAGCAUGGGAGGGGCAAAGAGAGGAAGACACAGAAUCUGAAGCAGGCUCCAGGCUCCGAAGUGUCAGCGCAGAGCCCAACACGGGGCUCAAAUCCACAAACUGCGAGAUCAUGACCUGAGCCGAAGUCGGACACUCAACCGACUGAGCCACCCAGGCGCCCUGGCUUGUUUUUUUGUUUUUGUUUUUAGAGUUACACCUAUUGACCUGGGUGAAUCUCACAAGCAUAACCUUGAGGAGGGAAGGUUGCUGAACACUAUACCUAGGAGGACAGUAUUUAUAUAAAGUUUUAAAACAUGCAAAUAUUAAAAAACUCUUAAAACUCAGUAAUAAAAAGACAAAUAACCCAAUUAACCAAUGGUUAAAGGAUCUUGGAGUGGAUUGAAUGGUGUCCCCCCCCCCAAAAUUCAUGUUCACCUGGAACCUCAGAAUUUGGCCUUAUUUGGAAAUAAGGUCUUUGCAGAUAAAAUUAGUUAAAUUGAAGCCAGGUGGGUCAAGAUGAAAUGAAGUAGAUUAGGGUGGGCCCUAAAUCCAGUGACAGAUGUCCGUACAAGAAGAGGCGAGGCCUCAGACAUACACAGGGGAGAACUCCAGGUGAAGACAGAGGCAGAUUGGAGCUAUGUGUCUACAAGUCAAGCACACAAAGUUCACAUAACAGGAAACUGUUUUAACCACUUGUUACAGUUGAGUGUACAGUUGAGCAGGUUUUAUAUAUUCUCAGUAUUGUGCAACCAUCACCACUAUCUAAUUCCAGCACUUUUUCAUCACCCCAAAAAGAAAACUUGUACCCAAGUUUUGUACCUCUCCCAAUUCUGCCUUCCUCCUGUCUCCUGGCAACCCCUAAUCCACUCUCUAUGUCUAUAGAUUUGACAUUUCAUACAAUAUGUAAGCUUUUGUGUCUGGCUUCUUAGUGUAGUGUUUUCAAGGUGCAUCCACAUUGUAGCCUGUAUCCGUGCUUCAUUCCUUUUUAUCACUAAAUAAUACUUCAUUUUAUGGAUAUACCACAUUUUAGUUUAUCCAUGCAUCAAUUAAUGGAUACUGAGUUGUUUCCACUUUUUGGCUAUCACAAAUAAUGCUGCUCUGAACACUCUUGUAUGAUUUCUUUUUUGAGGUGAUGAACAUGUUCUAAAGUCGAUUGUGGCAAUAGUCACGCAACUCCGUGGUUAUGCUAAAAGCCAUUGAACUGUACACUUUAAAUAGUGCAUGUAAAGAUCUCAAUAAAACUGUUACUCCCCAGAAUGCAAAAAAAAUAUAUUGUUCUGAGAUGUAUACAUACACAGUGAAUAUUUAUGGAAAUACAGGGAAA